rnacentral:rRNA from 1 species
GAUCCCGCCGGACCUGACUGCUAUCGGAUUGAUACUAAGCCAUGCGAGUCUUGUAGUAAUACAAGGCAGACGGCUCAGUAACACGUAGUCAACCUACCCUAUGGACAAGAAUAAUCUCGGGAAACUGGGCAUAAUUCUUGAUAGAUCAUAAUGCCUGGAAUGGUUUAUGGUUAAAAUGAUUCGUCGCCAUAGGAUGGGACUGCGGCCUAUCAGCUUGUUGGUGAGGUAAUGGCCCACCAAGGCGAUUACAGGUACGGGCUCUGAGAGGAGAAGCCCGGAGAUGGGUACUGAGACACGGACCCAGGCCCUAUGGGGCGCAGCAGGCGAGAAAACUUUGCAAUGUGCGAAAGCACGACAAGGUUAAUCCGAGUGAUUUCUGCUAAAGAAAUCUUUUGCCAGUCAUAAAACCACUGGUGAAUAAGGGGUGGGCAAGUUCUGGUGUCAGCCGCCGCGGUAAAACCAGCACCUCAAGUGGUCAGGAUGAUUAUUGGGCCUAAAGCAUCCGUAGCCGGCUUUGUUAGUUUUCGGUUAAAUCCAUGUGCUCAACGCAUGGGCCGCCGAAAAUACUGCAUAGCUAGGGAGUGGGAGAGGUAGACGGUACUCAGUAGGAAGGGGUAAAAUCCUUUGAUCUAUUGAUGACCACCUGUGGCGAAGGCGGUCUACCAGAACACGUUCGACGGUGAGGGAUGAAAGCUGGGGGAGCAAACCGGAUUAGAUACCCGGGUAGUCCCAGCUGUAAACGAUGCAGACUCGAUGAUGCAUUGGCAUAAUAGCCAGUGCAGUGUCGCAGGGAAGCCGUUAAGUCUGCCGCCUGGGAAGUACGUACGCAAGUAUGAAACUUAAAGGAAUUGGCGGGGGAGCAC